UACGUAGGGUGCAAGCGUUGUCCGGAAUUAUUGGGCGUAAAGAGCUCGUAGGCGGUCUGUUGCGUCGGCUGUGAAAACCCGGGGCUCAACUCCGGGCCUGCAGCCGAUACGGGCAGACUAGAGUUCGGCAGGGGAGACUGGAAUUCCUGGUGUAGCGGUGAAAUGCGCAGAUAUCGGGAGGAACACCAGUGGCGAAGGCGGCACUCUGGGCCGGUACUGACGCUGAGGAGCGAAAGCGUGGGGAGCAAACAGG
rnacentral:rRNA from 1 species